rnacentral:rRNA from 1 species
CCAAUAGCGUAUAUUAAAGUUGUUGCAGUUAAAAAGCUCGUAGUUGAAUUUCGGGAUCAGUGGGUCGGUCGUGCCACUGGUAUGCACUGGCUCUACUGGUUCCUCCUUCUUGAAGAACUGUAAUGCCAUUAAUUUGGUGUUGCAGGGAAACAGGACUGUUACUUUGAAAAAAUUAGAGUGUUUAAAGCAGGCAAUCGCUUGAAUACAUUAGCAUGGAAUAAUGAAAUAGGACGAUCGAUCCUAUUUUGUUGGUUUCUAGGAUUGACGUAAUGAUUAAUAGGGAUAGUUGGGGGCAUUAGUAUUCAAUUGUCAGAGGUGAAAUUCUUGGAUUUAUUGAAGACUAACUAACUACUGCGAAAGCAUUUGCCAAGGAUGUUUUCAUUAAUCAAGAACGAAAGUUAGGGGAUCGAAGACGAUCAGAUACCGUCGUAGUCUUAACCAUAAACUAUGCCGACUAGGGAUCGGAUGAUGUUAAUUUUUUUAAUGACUCAUUCGGCGCCUUACG